rnacentral:rRNA from 1 species
CGGCUCAGUAACACGUGGAUAACCUACCCUUGAGACGGGGAUAAACCCGGGAAACUGGGUAUAAUACCCGAUAGAUCUCGACUGCUGGAAUGCAUCGAGCUUGAAAGCUCCGGCGCUCAAGGAUGGGUCUGCGGCCUAUCAGGUAGUAGUGGGUGUAGCGUACCUACUAGCCUACGACGGGUACGGGUUGUGAGAGCAAGAGCCCGGAGAUGGAUUCUGAGACACGAAUCCAGGCCCUACGGGGUGCAGCAGGCGCGAAAACUUUACAAUGCUGGAAACAGCGAUAAGGGGACCUCGAGUGCCAGGUUACAAAUCUGGCUGUCGUGAUGCCUAAAAAGCAUUGCAUAGCAAGGGCCGGGCAAGACCGGUGCCAGCCGCCGCGGUAACACCGGCGGCUCGAGUGGUAACCGUUAUUAUUGGGUCUAAAGGGUCUGUAGCCGGCCGGAUAAGUCUCUUGGGAAAUCUGGCAGCUUAACUGUCAGGCUUUCAGGAGAUACUGUCUGGCUCGAGGCCGGGAGAGGUGAGAGGUACUUCAGGGGUAGGGGUGAAAUCUUGUAAUCCUUGAAGGACCACCAGUGGCGAAGGCGUCUCACCAGAACGGACCUGACG